AUGCAAGUACGCUCUAUCGCUUCUUCUUAGGAAGGGGAGGAAAGUCCGAGCAACACAGAGCGCCACACGAGUUAAUGGCUCGAUGUCCGUGAGGGUGUAGUAGCGUAACAGAGAAUAACCGCCACGUUUUUUUGAGGGCUUUUGUCCUUGUGGAUGUGGUAAGGGUGAAAAGGUGGGGUAAGAGCCCACCGCAGCGGCAGCAAUGUCGUCUGGCCGUACGCCUUGUGGGUUGCAAGACCAUGUAUAUCGACAAUUAAGGGUUGCUCGCCCGAUGUCGAGGGGUAGGUUGCUAAAGGUUGCAGGUGACUGUAACCGUAGAUAGAUGAUAGAGGCCCUUUCGGGGGUACAGAACUCGGCUUAUAGGACUUGCAUGAUG
rnacentral:RNase_P_RNA from 1 species